UGCGCAGGCGGACUAUUAAGUCAGUGGUGAAAUCUCCCGGCUCAACCGGGAAACUGCCAUUGAUACUGAUAGUCUUGAGUAUAGUUGUAGUGGGCGGAAUAUAGCAUGUAGCGGUGAAAUGCUUAGAUAUGCUAUAGAACACCGAUCGCGAAGGCAGCUCACUAAACUAUAACUGACGCUCAGGCACGAAAGCGUGGGGAGCAAACAGGAUUAGAUACCCGAGUAGUCC
rnacentral:rRNA from 1 species